rnacentral:sRNA from 1 species
UUGUCACCCGGCUUUGCUCCCAGGUGGGGGCAGGAGAUGGUGACGUCCCAAUCAAGUGUGAGGCUUGUCUAUUUUGAUGCCCGGCCACGCCGAAUACCAGAGUGCAGAACAAAGUUAUCGGGAAGUCCGACCAGGAUAAUGGAACAAAGAAUGGGACUAAAACGAAGAAUGCAGGUAGCCAAGCGAGGCUGAGACGAGAUGGCAGCAGAUAGCAGAUCGCAGAUGCUGACAGAAAGGGGAGUCGAAGUUCGUCCGUUAGCUCUGGGAAGCGUCGUGCGAAAAGCGCUGGAAUCCAUUGUUAUAAUUAGCGCCGCUUUCCCCGCGCCUCUGACGCAUUUAUUUAUCAAAGUUCGC